AGGAGGAACAGCCCCAUUGGCGGGGCAGCUCUGGAAACCUGGAUUCAGCUCCGGCAGGAACUCCGGAGCUCUCCGUCUGCAGGGCCUGGAGGCUCCGGGGCGGG
rfam:Canis lupus familiaris chromosome 26, whole genome shotgun sequence.